rnacentral:lncRNA from 1 species
UCUCACAUGGUCUCCAAAAUUACAAGAGAAGUAGAAAGAGAAGGAAAAGACAAAGGAGAGUUUACUACACAAACUCCAAACCAUUUGAUCUAUCAUCCUACUUCAAAAGCAUUCAAGCCAAUGGCAACCCCUGAUGUUUCCAUUUUUUUUUCUGGUUUUCCUCACCUUUCUUAUUCCUGCUUCCUACUCCUUGCCCACCUUAAACCAUCUAGCACCAACAGAACGUGGCCUGAACUCAGCAACCUAUAGUGCUCUAAUGCAGCAGUUAGGGUUCCUUAGUUUUGUCAGCAAGAGAACAACUGUCCUCCUUCACUUUCACCUAAACGCCAUGAAAAUUUUGGCUCCACUGACCAGCAGGGUCAAGAGGCGCGCUGAAACUUGCCCUACAAAUUCAUGAACCAGCCAUGCUAGAAAUGCACAUGUAGAGAAAAAGAAGCCGCGGUUGGCAAACAUAGAAGACUGCAUAAUAUCAGGCUUUCGAAGUUCGUGAUGUGGCGACGGGACUACGGAGCCUGAUCGAGAAAUGUAGCUAUGAAUGUGGAUCAUCUCCAAUGCCAUUUAUGAUGAUGGAGAAACUAAAUAAAAUACGGCGGGGAAGCUUCUUGCGGCCUCUGUUUUCUCAUCCAGAAUCAUACAUAAGCAAGAAACGUUGAUGUUAAUCUACGCAAGGAGGCGAUCUGUAAACGAGAAGAAAGACUUUUCUUGAACGAGAUAACCAAAAAAGACGAGAACCAGCAUAUCUGUGCAUAAAAGGAAACUAGAGGGGAACAGAAGCUCACCGUGUGCCAGGUGUUGUUGAAGAACGGGUGAAAACAAUCCUUCAGAAUCUCUCACCUU